UACGAAGGGGGCUAGCGUUGUUCGGAAUUACUGGGCGUAAAGCGCACGUAGGCGGGUUUGUAAGUAGGGGGUGAAAUCCUAGGGCUCAACCCUGGAACUGCCUUCUAAACUGCAAGCCUGGAGGUCAGGAGAGGCGAGUGGAAUACCGAGUGUAGAGGUGAAAUUCGUAGAUAUUCGGUGGAACACCAGUGGCGAAGGCGACUCGCUGGACUGAUACUGACGCUGAGGUGCGAAAGCGUGGGGAGCAAACAGG
rnacentral:rRNA from 1 species